rnacentral:rRNA from 1 species
CAAGAGCGUAUAUUAAAGUUGCUGCGGUUAAAAAGCUCGUAGUUGGAUUUCAGUCUAGGAAGGUUAACUCGCCGAAAGGUUGUACGUUGAUUUUCCUCAGACUUCGUCAGAAGCUCGUGCUGCACUUAACUGUGUGGUACGAUGUUCUGACCUUUUACCUUGAGGAAAGUAGAGUGUUUCAGGCGGGCUACCCAGCUUGAAUACAUUAGCAUGGAAUAAUGAAAUGGAUCUCGGUUCGAUUUCGUUGGUUCUAGAGCUGAGGUGAUGAUCAAUAGGAACAGGCGAAGGUAUUCGUACUUGAGAGUGAGGAGUGAAAUCCGAUGAUCUCUUAAAGACGAUCCGAGGCGAAAGCAUUUGUCAAGGAUGUUUUCAUUGA